CUGAGCACUGAAGGCAAUCACUGGGAAAGCAUGCCCAGGUUGAUGUCUGGCACAGAAAAAGUGCUCAACAAAAAAGCCUUCCUCUUCUCCAUGAAACAGACAUAUUUACACAUUAAAGACAACAAAAAAUCAGGACAGAAUGGCAGAGCCAUGGUAAACGACAGUCAUAACAAUGAACAGUGGAUCCAGCUGAACCAAUAAACAUCCACACAUUCCAAAUCCUGGAAUGUGAGGCAAUUCAGAGGAGGCUGGAGCUGCGGAAGACUCCACUACUCUGCCAUCUGAAGGAAGACACCCAUGGGGAUUCAGGGAUCACAGAGGAUCAGGGAAGGCA